rnacentral:rRNA from 2 species
GAAACACGGACCAAGGAGUCUAGCAUGUGCGCGAGUCAUUGGGACUAAACUAAACCUAAAGGCGCAAUGAAAGUGAAGGUUCGCCUCGCGCGAACCGAGGGAGGAUGGGUCUGGACACGGACAGACCCCGCACUCCCGGGGCGUCUCAUUCUCAUCGCGAGAAGAGGCGCACCCAGAGCGUACACGCUGGGACCCGAAAGAUGGUGAACUAUGCCUGGUCAGGACGAAGUCAGGGGAAACCCUGAUGGAGGUCCGUAGCGAUUCUGACGUGCAAAUCGAUCGUCGGAACUGGGUAUAGGGGCGAAAGACUAAUCGAACCAUCUAGUAGCUGG